UUUUGGAAUAAAAUCUUCUUGAAUGCUUAGUUUCUUUGCAUUCCAAAAAAUGUUCACCAGUUGCAACGUAAAAAUUGAAAGAUCUGGAUGCUGGUUGAGCGUUGCUCGGAAAUUCUUUCAAACCUCUAGUGUUAAGUCCACCAGACGGCCCCAUGUUCUCAUCAUCUCUUAACCAUUACUAAAGAAUUAAGGAAUUCCUAGGCAGAAAAUAUCAAAUGCGUAGGAUCUUUUAUAAUCUUCACACCUAGGAAUUUGGGUGUGUUUGUUGUGAGAGAGUAGGUGUUAACAUACUCUUACGUGGUUCAGUUUCAGUAGUUUGUUUAAUAUCUAUGUCCGUGGAGUUUACCUGUUUUACUCAUCUUGUAAUUAUUAUUGGGUUUUGGCAUUAGCUACUCGUCGCCUGUUCUCACUGAGAACAUUAAAUUUUAUUAUACUGGCCUGAACACAACUCUUACCAACCUCUGUUUUAAAUAGGAAAAAGGAUUUGUAGCUACACAAACUAUUGGCUAAUGUAUCUUAAACCAUCUGAAGUAUUAAAAUGUGUCUCGAGCAACAUAAACUCUUUGAAAUGUAUCUAAUUAACCGUGCGGGGUCUAAUUAGAUCUACUGAAAAUUCCUUGGGGUCAAAUUGAAUUUUUGAAACUUUAACCCAGCCAAGCCCGAAUCAGAAUCCAACUAUUAAAAUAAAUCUGACCCACUGUGUUCCCAAGGAUAAUGAGUCAGGUCGAUUUUAAAAGUUGGAUUCAGAUUCAGGCUUAGGCGUAUUAAAGUUUCAAAAAUUAGAUUUGACCCCAAGGAGUAUUCAGAAGAUCUAAUUAGAUCCCGUAUGGUUAAUUAGAAACAUUUCAAAGAGUUUAUGUUGUUGAAGACACAUUUUAAUCCUUCAGAUGGUUUAUGAUAACCAAUAGUUCGUGUAGUUACAAAUAUUUUUCCUUUUAAAUAUGUUACAAUAUAUAUGUAUCGAUGUCUUGAAUCACAAUCUCCCUAUUUUAUCUUUCUCUUUUAUAUUGUUUAAAAUAGCAUGUGUUUUAAAAUAUCUAUUGUCUUCAUAGCUGCAAAUUAAGUUAAGGUUGGUCAAGGAGGAUGAUAUGCCCCUAUUUAGUGUUCGUAAUGAUUUAGUAACCAAGUAGCAGGCAAAUUGUUGUAAAUAUGCAGUGUGCAGCUAAUAUUCAUCUUAUUUAUAAAUAUGUGACUAGGCUUUGGUAGGAAUAGGACAAUGAAAAUAGUGGUGGAGAAUCAUUUUUCUUUUUAUUUUUCAACUGCAAAAUGUCUAAGACGGUGCAUUUACGAAAAAGUAAAGAAUAAAAGCAAAAUAUGUUAAAGUUCUUAAGAACUCAAGAAUUCAGUGUCUGGAUAUAUUAUUUUGAGCUAAUUUGAUUAAAACCAAAGGAAGAUGGUGAAAUUAGGGAUUUGCCAAUAACAGUAAAAGUUUACUGCGCGUGAGGUCAAUCGCUAUGGUGAAAGACACAACUAUCCUUUAUACUCGACGAAGCCACUUCCAGAACCUAGAUGAUGUACACAUAUAAGCUGACAACAAGAUUUAUGUAGAUUUGGAAAGAUAAUAAAAAGAUUUGGGUUAGAUUUGCUAAACUUAUCUUUGUAAACGAAGAGGUACAGUGUCGUGGAUUGUUCAACCCAAAACCACAUCUUCUUUCAUUGCCGCUGUCAUUUUUUCUUCAUCUUCUUUCUCUGUUCUUUUUUUUUUCUUAUUGAAUAUAAACAAAAAUAAAGUAGAUCAUGAAUUCUAAAUCAUUCAUGAGUUCAUCUGGUUCUUUCUCCAUGAGUUCAUGAGGUGGGGGCUCUGGUGAAGGGGGAACCUCACCUACUGUCAAGAAGUUGAGAGGAUGACCCACUGGUUCUAGCAAAAGGCAAAAGCUUCAAGCUUUAGUUUGUUGUUGCAGGGUCAACAUGAGCCGGAUUCACACCUCAUGUUCUUACCGAGAUACGGCUAUCAAUCAAACCUUGGAAUGUGAAACGACGGUGGGGGAAAUUAACCACAAAGCCAAGAAGGAGGUUGGUGAAUUGGGAUUGGACUCCUAACUAUCCAAACUACGGCUGUCUAACAAUACCAAUCCACCCAUGUUUUCGGAUCGUGGAAGACCAUUAUUGUAAAAUUUAACUUGGGUUCAGUUUGUUUUUGGGAGGCUAAAAGUUUUUGUAACCGUUGAUGGUGGUUGGACAUCAAUUACUGUUGUUUUCUUGGGUUUGGGAAGAUGGUUAUUAGAGAUUUUAGUGUGGUCUGAGAUUGUUUUGCAUGGUUAAACUUUCUUGUAACCGUGUACGUAACAUAUCAACUUAAUAUGUACAAGUUUGGUUGUAUAUAUGUAUUUCAUGUGACAA